UACGUAGGGGGCGAGCGUUGUCCGGAUUUAUUGGGCGUAAAGAGCGUGUAGGCGGCCAGGUAGGUCGGUUGUGAAACCUCCAGGCUCAACCUGGAGACGCCACCCGAUACUGCUGUGACUAGAGUCCGGUAGGGGAGCGUGGAAUUCCUGGUGUAGCGGUGAAAUGCGCAGAUAUCAGGAGGAACACCAGCGGCGAAGGCGGCGCUCUGGGCCGGAACUGACGCUGAGGAGCGAAAGCGUGGGGAGCAAACAGG
rnacentral:rRNA from 1 species